rnacentral:rRNA from 1 species
AGAGUUUGAUCCUGGCUCAGAACGAACGCUGGCGGCGUGCCUAACACAUGCAAGUCGAACGUGAUUAGAGAGCUUGCUCUCUAUGAAAGUGGCGCACGGGUGAGUAACGCGUAGAUAAUCUGCCUGGUGAUUUGGGAUAACACUUCGAAAGGGGUGCUAAUACCGGAUAAGCCCACGGAGUCCUUGGACUCUGCGGGAAAAGGAGGGGACCUUCGGGCCUUCCGUCAUCAGAUGAGUCUGCGUACCAUUAGCUAGUUGGUAGGGUAAAGGCCUACCAAGGCGACGAUGGUUAGCUGGUCUGAGAGGAUGAUCAGCCACACUGGAACUGAGACACGGUCCAGACUCCUACGGGAGGCAGCAGUGGGGAAUUUUGCGCAAUGGGGGAAACCCUGACGCAGCAACGCCGCGUGAGUGAUGAAGGCCCUUGGGUCGUAAAGCUCUGACAGAGGGAAAGAAAUGUGGGUGGCUAAUAUCCAUUCCACUUGACGGUACCCUCAAAGGAAGCACCGGCUAACUCCGUGCCAGCAGCCGCGGUAAUACGGAGGGUGCGAGCGUUGUUCGGAUUUAUUGGGCGUAAAGCGCGUGUAGGCGGUUUUAUAAGUCUGAUGUGAAAGCCCCGGGCUCAACCUGGGAAGUGCAUUGGAUACUGUAAGACUUGAAUAC